UACAGAGGGUGCGAGCGUUAAUCGGAAUUCCUGGGCGUAAAGCGUGCGUAGACGGUUAUUUAAGUCAGAUGUGAAAGCCCCGGGCUCAACCUGGGAAUUGCAUUUGAGACUGAAUAGCUAGGGUGCGGUAGAGGGAAGCGGAAUUUCCGGUGUAGCGGUGAAAUGCGUAGAUAUCGGAAGGAACAUCAGUGGCGAAAGCGGCUUCCUGGACCAGCACCGACGUUCAGGCACGAAAGCGUGGGGAGCAAACAGG
rnacentral:rRNA from 1 species